AGAGUUUGAUCCUGGCUCAGGACGAACGCUGGCGGCGUGCCUAAUACAUGCAAGUCGAACGAACUCUGGUAUUGAUUGGUGCUUGCAUCAUGAUUUACAUUUGAGUGAGUGGCGAACUGGUGAGUAACACGUGGGAAACCUGCCCAGAAGCGGGGGAUAACACCUGGAAACAGAUGCUAAUACCGCAUAACAACUUGGACCGCAUGGUCCGAGUUUGAAAGACGGCUUUGGCUAUCACUUUUGGAUGGUCCCGCGGCGUAUUAGCUAGAUGGUGGGGUAACGGCUCACCAUGGCAAUGAUACGUAGCCGACCUGAGAGGGUAAUCGGCCACAUUGGGACUGAGACACGGCCCAAACUCCUACGGGAGGCAGCAGUAGGGAAUCUUCCACAAUGGACGAAAGUCUGAUGGAGCAACGCCGCGUGAGUGAAGAAGGGUUUCGGCUCGUAAAACUCUGUUGUUAAAGAAGAACAUAUCUGAGAGUAACUGUUCAGGUAUUGACGGUAUUUAACCAGAAAGCCACGGCUAACUACGUGCCAGCAGCCGCGGUAAUACGUAGGUGGCAAGCGUUGUCCGGAUUUAUUGGGCGUAAAGCGAGCGCAGGCGGUUUUUUAAGUCUGAUGUGAAAGCCUUCGGCUCAACCGAAGAAGUGCAUCGGAAACUGGGAAACUUGAGUGCAGAAGAGGACAGUGGAACUCCAUGUGUAGCGGUGAAAUGCGUAGAUAUAUGGAAGAACACCAGUGGCGAAGGCGGCUGUCUGGUCUGUAACUGACGCUGAGGCUCGAAAGUAUGGGUAGCAAACAGGAUUAGAUACCCUGGUAGUCCAUACCGUAAACGAUGAAUGCUAAGUGUUGGAGGGUUUCCGCCCUUCAGUGCUGCAGCU
rnacentral:rRNA from 1 species